CCCUACGGGGCGCAGCAGGCGCGAAAACUUUACAAUGCGGGAAACCGUGAUAAGGGGACACCGAGUGCCAGCAUCAUAUGUUGGCUGUCCAGAUGUGUAAAAUACAUCUGUUAGCAAGGGCCGGGCAAGACCGGUGCCAGCCGCCGCGGUAACACCGGCGGCCCGAGUGGUGAUCGUGAUUAUUGGGUCUAAAGGGUCCGUAGCCGGUUUGGUCAGUCCUCCGGGAAAUCUGAUGGCUCAACCAUUAGGCUUUCGGUGGAUACUGCCAGACUGAACCG
rnacentral:rRNA from 1 species